CAGCACCUCAAGUGGUCAGGAUGAUUAUUGGGCCUAAAACAUCCGUAGCCUGCUUUGUUAGUUUUCGGUUAAAUCCAUACGCUCAACGUAUGGGCUGCCGGGAAUACUGCAAAGCUAGGGAGUGGGAGAGGUAGACGGUACUCGGUAGGAAGGGGUAAAAUCCUUUGAUCUAUUGAUGACCACCUGUGGCGAAGGCGGUCUACCAGAACACGUCCGACGGUGAGGGAUGAAAGCUGGGGGAGCAAACCGGAUUAGAUACCCGAGUAGUCC
rnacentral:rRNA from 1 species